UACGGAGGGGACUAGCGUUGUUCGGAAUUACUGGGCGUAAAGCGCACGUAGGCGGAUUUGUAAGUCAGGGGUGAAAUCCCGGGGCUCAACCUCGGAACUGCCUUUGAUACUGCAAAUCUCGAGUCCGGAAGAGGUGAGUGGAAUUCCUAGUGUAGAGGUGAAAUUCGUAGAUAUCCGGAGGAACACCGGUGGCGAAGGCGGCUUCCUGGACCGACACUGACGCUGAGGCGCGAAAGCUAGGGGAGCAAACGGG
rnacentral:rRNA from 1 species